rnacentral:rRNA from 1 species
AUUCUGAAAGGGAUACUUCUCGGACAAUAUCAAGGUGCUGCAUGGUUGUCGUCAGCUCGUGCCGUGAGGUGUCGGGUUAAGUCCCAUAACGAGCGCAACCCCUAUCAUUAGUUGCCAUCAGGUCAAGCUGGGGACUCUAAUGAAACUGCCUACGCAAGUAGUGAGGAAGGUGGGGAUGACGUCAAAUCAGCACGGCCCUUACGUCCAGGGCUACACACGUGCUACAAUGGCCGGUACAAAGGGCAGCUACCUGGUGACAGGAUGCAAAUCUCCAAAGUCGGUCUCAGUUCGGAUCGGAGUCUGCAACCCGACUCCGUGAAGUUGGAUUCGCUAGUAAUCGCGCAUCAGCCAUGGCGCGGUGAAUACGUUCCCGGGCCUU